CCGAAUUUUAUUCAAUUUGUUAGAAUUCCUACUUUGAGACUUGAUUCUAUCGGUUUCGUCCCUAGAAUCUAUUUUCCCGUCUCAAUUGGUAUCUUGAGCCUUCGAUUCAUAGGACAUUAUGGGUCCAAAAUACAAAUUGGUGAAAAUUUUGAAUGCACUUGAUGCGGAAGACAAGAUGGAAAUGGGUUUAUGCUUCAUAUGUGAUAAACCUCUGAACUUUGAACAUCAAUUGUGGCAUCAUAAAAAUAUUCAGAUAGUAAUGAAGGAUGAAGAAGAAUCUGAAUCGGAUCAUGAAGCUCUUCAGAAGCAGGUGGGUGGCCUUGUAGCAAACAACACCGAAGAACCACACAAAGAACAACACGAGGAAGUGAAACCAGAAAGUGAAGUUGUCACGCAGGAUUUAAGUAGAAUUGAUGGGUCAAGGGUUUACACAGGGCCACAUGAAGAGGAA
rnacentral:lncRNA from 1 species